rnacentral:snRNA from 1 species
AUGUGUUACACGUCUUUUAGAAUUUGUCUAGCAGGCCUUCCACUGCUGGUCGGGAAGCUCGU